UACGGAGGGUGCAAGCGUUAAUCGGAAUUACUGGGCGUAAAGCGCACGCAGGUGGCUGAGUCAGUCGAUUGUGAAAGCCCUGGGCUUAACCUGGGAAUUGCAGUCGAUACUACUCAGCUAGAGUAUGGGAGAGGGUAGUGGAAUUCCCGGUGUAGCGGUGAAAUGCGUAGAUAUCGGGAGGAACAUCAGUGGCGAAGGCGGCUACCUGGCCCAAUACUGACACUGAGGGACGAAAGCUAGGGGAGCGAAAGGG
rnacentral:rRNA from 1 species